CGGGAGGGCGUAGCCGUAGUCUUGGCCCACGUCAUUCUGUGCCCCGGGUCAGGUCACCGCCCGGAGGGUAUGGGAAGAGAAAUGAAGAAGACUGGUACUCCCAGACCCUUCCGUAUCGAGGACCCCAAUCAACAACCCACCUGGCAUGAUCAACCAGGUACAGAAUCAGUUUUUUGGCUGUAGAUGAUUUAAGAGUUAGGGUCAACUUGUCUUUGAGAUGGGGUCCCACUAUUUUGCCCAGGCUGGUCUUGAACUGCUGGGCUCAAGCAAUCCUCCUGCCUCAGCCUCCCAAAGUGCUGGGAUUACAGGUGUGAGCCACUGUGCCCGGCCCGGAGAACAUGAUCUUAACCAUACUGUCUUCCAAGUGAAAGAUUCUACCUUUCUAAGACAUCUGGAGUCAGACAGACCUGAGUUCAAGUCGUGCCUUCCUCCCCACUUUACUGAACCUUCAGUGAGUCUUUCUACCUCAGAAGGCUGUGAGGAUGCCAUGGGGUAAUGAAUGUAAAGUGUUUAAGUGCUUGGCUGACACUGAGUACUAAAUAAAUA
rnacentral:lncRNA from 1 species